UACGUAGGGUGCGAGCGUUAAUCGGAAUUACUGGGCGUAAAGCGUGCGCAGGCGGUUGUGCAAGACCGAUGUGAAAUCCCCGGGCUCAACCUGGGAAUGGCAUUGGUGACUGCACGGCUAGAGUGUGUCAGAGGGGGGUAGAAUUCCACGUGUAGCAGUGAAAUGCGUAGAGAUGUGGAGGAAUACCGAUGGCGAAGGCAGCCCCCUGGGAUAACACUGACGCUCAUGCACGAAAGCGUGGGGAGCAAACAGG
rnacentral:rRNA from 1 species